rnacentral:rRNA from 1 species
GUGCAGCAGGCGCGAAAACUCCGCAAUGCGCGAAAGCGUGACGGGGUUACCCCGAGUGCCGUCCGCUGAGGAUGGCUUUUAUCCAGCGUAAGGAGCUGGGAGAAUAAGGGGAGGGCAAGUCUGGUGUCAGCCGCCGCGGUAAUACCAGCUCCCCGAGUGGUGGGGACGAUUAUUUGGCCUAAAGCGUCCGUAGCUGGCUCAGUAAGUCUUCGGUUAAAUCCGACGAUUCAAUCGCUGGACUGCCGGAGAUACUGUUGGGCUAGGGGGCGGGAGAGGCUGACGGUAGUCUCGGGGUAGGGGUGAAAUCCUAUAAUCCCGGGAAGACCACCAGUGGCGAAGGCGGUCGGCUAGAACGCGCCCGACAGUGAGGGACGAAAGCUGGGGGAGCGAACCGGAUUAGAUACCCGGGAGUCC